GCCCAUGGUGUGCACCGGGUGAAUUGGUGGAGGAUUUCAAAGGCCGGGGGGCCUCGUUGGCCCCCCGGCUGUUAGGGUUAGGCUCAGCAACCAUUGCAACAUCCGACUUUGUUAUGCACUGGUGCUGGGUGUGUGUCUUUGCUGGAGCUGAUUUCUUUUGUAGGGUGUUUUAGCUGUUUGAGCCUCUCCCCUCAGGCACUGAGAUGACUGCAAGAAGGGUGGUGGAGAAGAACUCUUCAGGCAGAGUGAGAGUGACUGAGGAGAGUUACAGGAGCUGAGGUUCUGGCAGUAUUUUCCAAUUGUACAUUUCAUUAUAAAUGGCACAUUAUUCCAGUGCUGAAGUUUUAUCCUUUCUGAGGAAUCCCUUUGUACCUGAAGCAGACGGAACAUUCUUCCUGAUGCGGAAAUAAACAGGAGCCGCGAAGCGCUUACCGCAAUCAUUGUAAACAGUUACCUCAGGUUUAUUUUCUUCCCAAGUUGAUGGUUGCUAGAAGGAACGACUCAUUCCGUGUGCAAGAACAGACAGUGUGUCGCCAUUCUACUGAGUACGACUGCACUUGGCUUUCUUGAACUUCAUGAGAUUGGCAUUGGCCCACCUCUCAGGCCUAUCAACGUCCAUCUGGACAGCACUCCUUCCCUCCAGGAUACUGACCACACCACGCAUCUUGGUGUUGUCAGCAAACUGGCUAAGAGUGUACUUAAUCCCACUGUCCAUGUCACCAACAAAGAUGUAAAACAGCACUGGUCCCAGUAGUGACCUCUGAGGAACACAACUCAUUAUUGGUUUCCACUUAGAUAUUGAUCCAUUGACCAUCAGCCUUUGAGUUCAACUGUCAAGCCAAUUCCUUACCCACUGAGUGUUCCACUCAUCAGCUGUCUUUCAUCAGAUGUCUUUUCAAUUUAGAGACCAAAGCAUCAGGGGAACAGUGUCAGUGUUUUGCACAAGUCCAGGUAAAUGACAUCAAUUGCUCUUCCCUUAUCCACUAAUGCUGUUGCCCCAUCAUAGAAUUCCAUCAAAUAAGUCAGGUGCGAUUUGCCUUGGGUGAAGCCAUGUUGGCCACCACCAAUCACCUCCCUGUUUUUCAUAUGCCUUAGCAUAAUUUCCAGAAGCAUAUGCUCCAUGAUAUUACUGAGCAUAGAUGUUAGAUUGACUGGUUUGUAGUUCCCAGGGUCUUUCUUUUUUCCCAUUUGGAAAUGACAGUUAUCUUUCCCUUUUCCAGUCAGUGGGAACUUCACCAGUUUGCCAUGGCUUUUCACAUAUGAUGGAACGUGUCUUAGCAACAUCAUCUGCCAGUUCCCUUAGGACCUGCAGAUGGAUCUUGUCAGAUCCCAUGGAGUUGCAAACCUCUUUUCUAAUUAAGAGAAGUCUGGCCUUCCCCAUCCCCCUUCAAAUGAUUCACCAUUUUCUGAGCUGUUCGUCACAUAUUUGAGGGUCCUGGUCUGCACAGCUGGCCAAAGCCAGCACGAGAAGCCUCUCUGCAUGGACCUGACAGCUGUUUUGCCACCUAAUGACACUCUUUGACACUCUGUUAAGGCCAAAGAAAGACAUUUUCAGCCUACUGCGUUAGUUAUUGUGACUGAUGUUGUGUAGGACACAAAGUUCUAACCAGAUAUCUAAUCGUAAAACUUGGAUUUUUGGAUGAAGAAUGAAGGGUGUUACUCCUACAGUGUAGAAAAAUCAACUAAAAUUCACAUAACUAAGGAAGGCACUAUUUUCCUGUAUUCCUGCUUAUACAACGCUUGUAUUGCUAUUCAUAUGAAGUCAUGUAAUGGAAAUAAACUAAAUGGUCUUGGUCUUUA